ACAAUACAAAUUGUGAACAAAAAUGAAUUGAAUGGUCCAAAUGAUUUUGUGGUUGCGUAUUUACAACAUAUUGUAAAAAGUGCACUUUUAAAUUAUUGUAUAAUAAUACUUAAUUCCAUUGCGCAUGCUACGGGAAUGAAGGUCAAUGCGCAUAGUCAAAACAUUGCGCAUUUCGGGGCCAGCUAACCUCCCUUCAGCAGAGUUGAUCGACCAGCCUCUGAGCUGUCAGUGUAGCAAGCAAGCAGAGAAAUCCAUUUAUUUCGUGCUGUAUUUUGGUGCCUAUUGGAGUGCUAAGUGGCUUUGGUCGCUUUUGGUUUAAUUUGGGUGCUAAUAUAAAAUAAAUAUAACAGGAUGCCAGCCCCAGCGCCACCCGCCGAAAAUGGCGCGCCUCGCAGCGAACUCGAACAACUUCAGAUGCGCGCCGGUCAAGUCACCGAUGAGUCACUGGAGUCGACGAGGCGUAUGAUGCAACUAUGCGAGGAGAGUCACGAGGUGGGCAUGAAAACCCUGGUCAUGCUGGAUGAACAGGGCGAACAAUUGGACAGAAUCGAGGAAGGAAUGGACCAGAUCAACGCCGAUAUGCGCGAAGCGGAGAAGAAUCUAUCGGGAAUGGAAAAGUGUUGCGGGAUCUGUGUUCUGCCAUGCAACAAGAGCGCAUCAUUCAAAGAAGACGAUGGUACGUGGAAAGGCAAUGAUGACGGCAAAGUGGUGAACAACCAACCACAGCGAGUGAUGGACGAGCGCAACGGUAUAGGUCCACAAGCUGGCUACAUAGGCAGAAUAACAAAUGAUGCUCGCGAAGACGAGAUGGAAGAGAACAUGGGUCAGGUGAACACGAUGAUUGGUAACUUGCGCAACAUGGCGCUAGACAUGGGCUCCGAACUCGAGAACCAGAACCGUCAGAUCGACCGCAUCAACCGCAAGGGUGAAUCGAACGAAACGAGGAUAACGCUGGCGAACCAGCGCGCGCACGAGCUGCUCAAGUAAACGGCGGCGGCCAUCACACCACACACACACACUCGGUCUCGUGGUCGCUACUGGCGCCAACGCAACGUCGGUUGCAGACACCUACUCGUAGCUGAACUUACAACUAUUUUAAUGAUGCUUCAAAUGUAACUGAUUUUCAUUCAAACGCAUUAUUUAUUUCCAUACAGUUUCCAAACUUCAAGAUCGAUUUGAACUUGAAAUUUAAAAACUGUUUUUGGUAUAAAAAUAAUUACCUUAAUAUUUAUACUCACAUAUAAACAUUUUGCGGUUCUGCGAUCGGCGAUGUGUCUCCUGAUCAGUAUUUUGCUUCAUGUCUUUCCUAUCUUGAAAAGCAAGUACAUUUAUUCAAGUGUAACUUUAAGAUAUUAAAUCUAUUUCUAACCUCUUAACGUGCUGCUGUAUUAAAUGAACCAAACAAUUGCUGAUCGCAAUGUUACCUACAAAGAUCAGUACAUUGAUAUCAUUUUACUUUUAAUCGCUCAAAAGAAAUUUGUAUUAGGUGCAUCCUCUUAAAACGAAAAUUUCUGUAGAGACUGCUUACUGGGUUCGUGUUUAAUGAAGUUCAAAUAAUUGUCAGUUUUAUAAUUUACGUUAGUUGCAAAUCAAGUUUGCCCAAACCAGUUUUUACUGAGAGACAUUGACUUGACACAUUUUCAUUGACACAAACUAAAAAUUAAAAGGUUGUUUGUGACUGUUCAUAAAAUACAGUAUGGCAUGUUAUAUUACAAAAAUAUCAACUAUAUUUAAAACUUGCACUAUAAAUAUUUAUGUUAUCCUCAAGUAUACCUAGAUUUGUUAGGACCAUAGGGCGUUGAAACGAUGAAAUCUGUUAUUUUGAGAAAGUGCAUUUACCCCGUUGUUAUCUUAGUAGUGUUAAUAAUUACUGUUAUACCUAGGGAUCCAAUGUUGCUAACGCAAACGUCAUAAAAUUUGUGUUAUUCAUAAGAGUUGUUAAAAAAAAGUUAAACUUACACAAGCAAUAAAAAUUUGUAGUUAAAAUACAUAAUAAUAUAAUAUUCCUCGGAGUUCCUUGUUCUAAUCAAAUUGUCAUGCGCUUGCAUAUAUUAAACUAUAUCCUGUCACAACUUACUUUUUUUUAUUUUAAGAAAUUUACUUUUUAUAUAAUAAUUUAUAAAGUUAAAGGAAGCGUAAAUGAUUUUUGGGUGGAGUGUAAAGGAUGAGUUGAUAUGUGAUAAUAGUUCGAAAUUAAGUGACUAGUAAGUGUAGCCAUGCAAGUCUUCGUCAAAUUUGUUUGUAUCUGAAAAGAUCAGAUCUCAUUUAUAUUAUUUUUAUCAGUACUUUUCUCAUAGGAGCAUUUAUGUGUUCAAUUUUUGUUUAAAAUCAAAAUUUAUAAAAUUUUCCAAUGUAAUAAAGUAUUUUUUAUUAUUAUAUGUAUUAAUUUACUUGUUCAGAAUUUGAAGUAAUUAAAUAAUUAUAUUCAAAAUAAUUAAAAACGACCAAGUUUAUUUCAUUAAAAAAAUAAAAUUUAGUAUGCACAUAUCCAAUAUAUGACAAACAUAUCUGCUUCUAUGGACAAGUAUUAAAAAUUCUGAUUUAUCUGUAACUAUAGUAAUUAAUAAUCAAUACUUAGAUAUAAAUGAAAUAUUAAUCAUAAAUUAUUGUUAGUAAUUUUUAUUUAUUUAAUUAUUAUAAAAUAAAUCAUUUCAUUUAUAAAUAUUUAGUUCUUUAUUUUCCCUUUUUGUUAAUUUCAUUCUGUUUUUUAAAGUCAAUUAAAUUUAUAAAAGUUAUCAUUUUAGGGUUCAAUACACCAAAAUAAAAUAAUAUAAAAUGUAACAUCAACAGAAAUUGGUCUGAUUAGUUAAUUUUUACACAUUACUCGUAUAAACUAUGACUAUGACUUAGGUUAUAAAGUUGUGGAUUGAUUGUUAGGUAAUCGAAAGAAGUGAUAAAGUUAAGAAUACACUAUACUUUAAGUAAUAGAAUAGCGUUAAAAUGUCAGAAGCAUGUAAUAAUUUACCAAUUAUUAUUAAUUUUUGUUGAACGAAAUACGCAAAUCUCCGAGACGAGUAAAAGUUCCCAAAACUAUGUUGGUUACUCGCACAACUUUUUUAAAACCUACUUCUAAUUUUGUAAAGUGUUUUGUUGAUGAAUAAUAUCACUUACUUAAUAAAAUUUUAAGAGAAUUCAUUGAAAUGAAAUUCACGAUGGUACCGUAGUCGCGCUGGUUAAGCUCUAACAACCACGAGACCUACACCUAAACACACAAUUACACACAACACGACGCCGGCAACCGGAGAAAGCAACGAGACUCGCAUAGCGGUUGCAAACCAGCGAGCGAACAAGCUCCUCAAGUCUUAAGCAAGUCUUCGGAAACGCCUAUAGUGUUUAUUUUUUUGCAUUUUAACCAAUGAUCCAUGUGUAACGAGAGGGGAACUAUUGAAAACAAAAUAAAUAUUCGCAUGUGUGUAUAUAAAAAAAUUGAAUUGAAUAGGUAUUUAAAAUUUUUGUUUCAUCUUAGAAAAGAAAAUUUUCUUUUUAACAUAGGUACAAUGCGCCAUAAAUUAAUUUCCAUUUUAGAAUGUAUUUGUAAAAAGUCGAAUAGUGUAGGUUAAGAAUGAUAAACGAAGGAUUAUCAUGAAUGUUAUAAUUGUUGCUGAAUCAAAAUUUUAUUAUAAUGUUUAUGCAAAAUUAUAUACUUCAAAAAAUGUUGGUAUAAAUAAGCGAAUUGAAAUAUUUAUUGCAUAGAAAACAUACUUGUAUGAUAACGAAAAGGUAACGAAAUUUCGGGAUAGUGAAAUAAUGUAUAGACUGAUAUAUUUUUCUUUGGCUUCAUAAUUUACCCUCUCGUUCCACCAGACAUCAGAAACUAAUAAAUGAUGCUAUUUGUCUAGAUUUUGCUGUAGUAAAAAAUAUUUCAUAUGCUUAUUGGCAAAAUUUCACGAGUAUAUUUGAAAUACAUACUUCGUUUUACCGAUACGUAAAUUUUUUUCAAUUACCUACUUAAUAAAAAAUUGAGUAGGGCGCAAUAAAUAUAUUAUAUGGUUUACCUUACUAGGGUGCCCAUGUUAUAUUGAAAUAUAAAAAUUAAAUAUAAUAGUGUUUAUGUAAAUUUUGGCGUUACAAGCAAUACAUUUAUGUCUUAAUUAAUAAAAUCUGCUGUUUCUUAAAAUCUUUUAUUACUCAAAGAUGAAAAUAAUGCAAGGAAGUACAGUUCUUAGUUUUACUUGAAAUACAAUAUUAUUUAAAUUUAGCUAGGUAUUUGAAGAAAACAUAAUAGUAAAAUGGAUACUGGUACAAACAUAUUUUUAUUUUAGUAAUGUGCCAAAAUGUCAUAAAAUAUAUGAUUGACCUCAAUUUAAAUCUACCAAAUUUUGUACAUAGGUACUUAUGCAAACGAUCCACUCUACUUCGGAGCACACUUAAUACGAUUAAAUUAUAUCUUUUAAUAAAAUUAAUUUGCACUUAAAUUUAAGAAUAAGGUAUGGGUAUCGAAAGAAAGUACGGUUAAUCACAAAAAUCUUUCACGCUCAAAUUAAUAUUUCAAUGUACUAUUAAAUUUUACGUAUUGCUUGUGUAUCAUAUUUCUGAAUAUAUAACAGUUUUGAAGUUAUAAUAAAGAUGUUUUAAAAGUCUACUAAUAAAAGAAUUACUGAGAUUACAUAUUAUGAAUACUGUUUUUCGUAUUAAACUUGAUGUUUAGACAUUUUAAAAUUGCUUUGUUAUCAAAGUAGAUUUUAAUUUAGAUUAAGAUAAAGGUGCCUGGACUAUAUCUUGACGUUUUUCUUUAUUGUGCAUUUAUUACCAAUAAGUUCAGAUAUUAUAGAUAGCUCAUCUUUUUUCAAUAUUGAAAUAAGUAUAUGCAAUUACCUUGUCGCACGAAAUGUGGUGUAAAACUUUAAUCAGGUUUCGUGUCACAGGGAAUAUGUAGAUUGCGAUGUGAUGACAAGACAUGCAAUAGUUAAAUAUUAAAUACUUUAUUACUUAAAGUGUAUUGUUGUAAGUACGAAGAAUAAAGUACCGGCCUUUAGGAGUAAUGAUAGUAGAAGUUACGGCAGCGGCUUGACAAAUUAUACUUACUGUACUCGUGUACCAGAUAGAUUUAAGAGUUUUCCAAAUUUUCUCUAUGUCUUUUCUCUCAUAUUAGUUUGUAAGAGAUCACAUGUGCCCUCGGGGCAAUUUAUCUAAGUACAUAUUUUAAUAAUAUAAUAUUACAGAGUUGUCUUGUAACCUAUAGAGAUUGUUUUGUUAAUUAAUCGAGGUAUUCGAUAGAUAUAAAUUUACCGCCUGCGUAAUCUGUAUCAGUUUUAUUCAGCCUAAAAAUGUAACUAUUUAGAAUAAACUUAUUACCUAUAUCUAUUUUCUUUAAGAAUAGUAAUAUAAUUAACAGAUAGUAUAAAAUGUUAAUUUCUGAUUACAUUAUUGUUUUGUUAAAUUAAAUCUAUUUGUAUUAUUUCA